GAAACAAGCUUUUUUCUAGUAAAUUGAUGGGUUUUCUUUAGAGAGGGAAAAAAGUGGGUUUGAGUAGAUUUUUGGAGAUUAAAAUAGUGAAAUUAUGGGGUUUUCUUUAGAGAGGGAAAAAAGUGGGUUUGAGUAGAUUUUUGGAGAUUAAAAUAGUGAAAUUAUGGGGUUUAUUUUGAGAGAGAAAAGUGGAUUUGAGUUUGUUUUUGGAGAUUGAAAGUUCUUAUUUUUGAGUUCCCGCAGUUUAGAUAUAUAAAGAAAUGGGUUUGAGUUAUUAAUUUUUGGCAUGAGUUAAGGGAAGGACAUCUAUUUUCCAGUGGGUUUCAGUUAUGAAGUUAUCGAAGUUUAUGGUACUUUGGCAACCUUCUUCCGGUGGUUAUGGAGGCUGUGUUUUGGUAUUUCGUCGGUCCUGUUAGGCGAAUACCAUAGGAGGUGGACAUUUAAGGAAUUCAAAAUGUGCAUCAAGACCACUACUCCACAACAAAAGAAUUAUGAUGACUACAGUAUUUAUGUUAUCAAAUUGAUGUCCAACCCAAUAAUUAUGAAAGACUUCAAUUCAGAGGAGGAAAUGGCACGUGUUGCUAUUGAUUUGGUUAUGUCUGACAACAACUCGGCAAGGUAGAACAUUUGUUUGGCUGCCGCUACUUAUUGUUGCAAGUUGAUGGAAUCACAACCACUAAAAUCUAAAUGAGGUCACCCUUCCGUAACUUGUUUGGGUAAUGCUUGUAUGGGUUGAUGUCUUGCGUUUGUUUAUGAAUGUAAUAUGAGGGUUUGUGUUGUUUUUUUAUGUGAAUUGUUACAUUAUUUAGGCGUCUAAAAUUGUAACUGGUUACAAUAUGCAAUUUAACUGGUUGUAUGUGUUAAGUGUACACAAUUGUAACCGGUUAAACUAGGUAGUACUACAUCUGAUUAUACUGGUUAAUCACACCAGAUAAUAUAAACGAUAAUGGAAUAUGGUCGUUGUAACUUAUUCCAUUUUGUAGUUAUCUCCAUUUGAAACUGGUUACAAUAUUGAGAA